rnacentral:rRNA from 1 species
CUGCUCCAUGAAAUCAAUUUAAAUAGCUGCAGUAUAUUAACUGUACAAAGGUAGCAUAAUCAAUAGUUUUUUAAUUAAAAGCUGGAAUGAAUGAUUUCAUGAGAUAGAUACUGUUUCAAAUUUAAAUUUAGAAUUUUUUUUUUAGUUAAAAAGCUAAAUUGAAUUAAAAAGACGAGAAGACCCUAUAGAUUUUAAUAAUUUUAUAAAUUAUUAAUUAUUUAUUAUAUAUUUAUUGAUUAAUAAAAUUAUUUGAUUGGGGUGAUUUUUGAAUUUAAUUAACUUUAAAUUUUUAAAACAAUAAUAUUUGAUUAUUUGAUCCUUGAAUAAAGAUUAUUAGAUUAAAAUACCUUAGGGAUAACAGCGUAAUUUUUUUGGAGAGAUCAUAUUGAUAAAAAAGUUUGCGACCUCGAUGUUGAAUUAAGAUAAAAUUUAAAUGGAGAAAUUUAAAAUUUUUGGUCUGUUCGACC